UGACCUCAAAAUCAGGUAGGACUACCCGCUGAACUUAA
rnacentral:rRNA from 1 species